CAUUGGGAAGCUAUGCAUCAGCGCUAGCCUUUUAAGCUAGAGACAGAGGAAUUCCCUCCUCCCCAAUGA
rnacentral:tRNA from 1 species